UCCUACGGGAGGCAGCAGUGGGGAAUAUUGGACAAUGGGCGAAAGCCUGAUCCAGCCAUGCCGCGUGAGUGAAGAAGGCCCUAGGGUUGUAAAGCUCUUUCAGCGGGGAAGAUAAUGACGGUACCCGCAGAAGAAGCCCCGGCUAACUUCGUGCCAGCAGCCGCGGUAAU
rnacentral:rRNA from 1 species